rnacentral:rRNA from 1 species
GAUGAACGCUGGCGGCGUGCCUAAUACAUGCAAGUAGAACGCUGAAGGAAGGAGCUUGCUCUUUCCGGAUGAGUUGCGAACGGGUGAGUAACGCGUAGGUAACCUGCCUGGUAGCGGGGGAUAACUAUUGGAAACGAUAGCUAAUACCGCAUAACAGUAGAUGUUGCAUGAUAUCUACUUAAAAGGUGCAAUUGCACCACUACCAGAUGGACCUGCGUUGUAUUAGCUAGUUGGUGAGGUAACGGCUCACCAAGGCGACGAUACAUAGCCGACCUGAGAGGGGGAUCGGCCACACUGGGACUGAGACACGGCCCAGACUCCUACGGGAGGCAGCAGUAGGGAAUCUUCGGCAAUGGACGGAAGUCUGACCGAGCAACGCCGCGGGAGUGAAGAAGGUUGUCGGAUCGUAAAGCUCUGUUGUAAGAGAAGAACGAGUGUGAGAGUGGAAAGUUCACACUGUGACGGUAGCUUACCAGAAAGGGACGGCUAACUACGUG